UACAGAGGUCUCAAGCGUUGUUCGGAUUCAUUGGGCGUAAAGGGUGCGUAGGUGGCGCCGUAAGUCAGGUGUGAAAUCUCGGGGCUCAACCCCGAAACUGCACUUGAUACUGCGGUGCUCGAGUACUGGAGAGGAGAUUGGAAUUUACGGUGUAGCAGUGAAAUGCGUAGAUAUCGUAAGGAAGACCAGUGGCGAAGGCGGGGUCUCUGGACAGUUCCUGACGCUGAGGCACGAAGGCCAGGGGAGCAAACGGG
rnacentral:rRNA from 1 species